rnacentral:misc_RNA from 1 species
UCCGGUUUAACACCGGCAGUCCCUCUAGAGUCCCCAACUUAAUGAUGGUAACUAGAGGCAAGGGUUGCGCUCGUUAUUGGACUUAACCAGACAUCUUACGACACGAGCUGACGACAGCCAUGCAGCACCUAUCUCCACGCCCCCGAAAGGGAAACUACAUCUCUGCAGUCGUCGUGGGAUGUUAAGGGUAGGUAAGGUUCUGCGCGUUGCUUCGAAUUAAACCACAUACUCCACCGCUUGUGCGGGCCCCCGUCAAUUCCUUUGAGUUUUAGCCUUGCGACCGUACUCCCCAGGCGGGAUACUUAAUGCGUUAGCUUUAGUACUCAGGAGGUUAACAUCCCGAACACCUAGUAUCCAUAGUUUACGGCGUGGACUAC